CUGUGAGGUAUGCUGGAGGUAUCAGAAGUGCGAAUGCUGACAUAAGUAACGAUAAAGCGGGUGAAAAGCCCGCUCGCCGGAAGACCAAGGGUUCCUGUCCAACGUUAAUCGGGGCAGGGUGAGUCGACCCCUAAGGCGAGGCCGAAAGGCGUAGUCGAUGGGAAACAGGUUAAUAUUCCUGUACUUGGUGUUACUGCGAAGGGGGGACGGAGAAGGCUAUGUUGGCCGGGCGACGGUUGUCCCGGUUUAAGCGUGUAGGCUGGUUUUCCAGGCAAAUCCGGAAAAUCAAGGCUGAGGCGUGAUGACGAGGCACUACGGUGCUGAAGCAACAAAUGCCCUGCUUCCAGGAAAAGCCUCUAAGCAUC
rnacentral:rRNA from 1 species